rnacentral:rRNA from 1 species
GACGAACGCUGGCGGCGUGCUUAACACAUGCAAGUCGAACGGAAAGGCCCUGCUUUUGUGGGGUGCUCGAGUGGCGAACGGGUGAGUAACACGUGAGUAACCUGCCCUUGACUUUGGGAUAACUUCAGGAAACUGGGGCUAAUACCGGAUAGGAGCUCCUGCUGCAUGGUGGGGGUUGGAAAGUUUCGGCGGUUGGGGAUGGACUCGCGGCCUAUCAGCUUGUUGGUGGGGUAGUGGCUUACCAAGGCUUUGACGGGUAGCCGGCCUGAGAGGGUGACCGGCCACAUUGGGACUGAGAUACGGCCCAGACUCCUACGGGAGGCAGCAGUGGGGAAUAUUGCACAAUGGGCGGAAGCCUGAUGCAGCAACGCCGCGUGCGGGAUGACGGCCUUCGGGUUGUAAACCGCUUUCGCUUGUGACGAAGCGUGAGUGACGGUAAUGGGUAAAGAAGCACCGGCUAACUACGUG